rnacentral:rRNA from 1 species
AAACAUGUCUUUAUGAUUUUUUUUAAAGUCAGACCUGCUCAAUGAUUAUUUUAAAUAGCCGCGGUAAUUUAACUGUGCAAAGGUAGCAUAAUAAUUAGUCUUUUAAUUGAGGUCUGGAAUGAAUGGUUAGACGAGAAAUAUACUUUAUUAAGUUUAUUUAUUUUAAUUUAAUUUUUUAGUUAAAAAGCUAAAAUAUUUAGAAGUGACGAUAAGACCCUAUAGAUCUUUAUUUGAUUCUUAAAUUUAUUUUUUUUGUUGUUUUAUUUUUUUUUAAUUUUUUAAAUUUUACUGGGGUGGUAGUUAAAAUUUUAAUCUUUAAUUUUUUUUUACAUUUUUAUGUAUGGAUAGUUGACUUAGAAUUUUUUGUUAUAAGAUUAAGAUACCUUAGGGAUAACAGCGUAAUUUAUUUGGAGAGUUCUUAUUGAUAAAUAAUUUUGCGACCUCGAUGUUGGAUUAAAUUUUGAUUGUGGGGUAGGUUUACAUUC